GCAUUGGGGGUUCAGUGGUAGAAUUCUCACCUGCCAUGUGGGAAGCUUGGGUUUGAUUUCCCCACAAAUACA
rnacentral:tRNA from 1 species